AAAAGAACUUUGGAGAGAGAGUCAAAUAGUACGUGAAACCGUCGGGAGGGAAACGAACGAGGUCGGUGCGGCGAUCGCGUAGGCUCAGGCGGUGCCGAGGGGAGCGGCGGGCGAGCGUAGAUCGUUCCCCGCCGUGCAACCGAGGCGCCGACGUAUUUCUCGCGAUCGCGGACCAGCGGCGGUUGGAUCCGGGGCAGAAGGGGCGAAGGAAGGUGCGCAGGCGGAGCCCGCUCCGCAGGCAGUUAUAGACUUUGCAAUCCGGCGCCCGGAUCCGACCGAGGAAGUGGGCAGCGUUUGCCCGUGUGGUGCACGCCGUACGGCGGGGCCCCCCUAUGGAGGUGAGCCGCUCUUCGGGGACUGCGUGCAGUGUCUGUCGAAGCGGUGAGCCUGUCGUGGGACGGUGCCACUUGUGCGCCAGUGCCGCCGGUAUUCGGACGGCCUCGUCCGACCCGUCUUG
rnacentral:sRNA from 1 species